UACGAAGGGGGCUAGCGUUGUUCGGAAUUACUGGGCGUAAAGGGCGCGCAGGCGGCCCUCCAAGUCAGGCGUGAAAGCCCCGGGCUCAACCCGGGAAUAGCGCUUGAGACUGGGGGGCUUGAGUUCGGGAGAGGAGAGUGGAAUUCCCAGUGUAGAGGUGAAAUUCGUAGAUAUUGGGAAGAACACCGGUGGCGAAGGCGGCACUCUGGGACGGUACUGACGCUGGGACGCGAAAGCGUGGGGAGCGAACAGG
rnacentral:rRNA from 1 species